GAUGAACGCUGGCGGCGUGCCUAAUACAUGCAAGUCGAGCGAACGGACGAGAAGCUUGCUUCUCUGAUGUUAGCGGCGGACGGGUGAGUAACACGUGGAUAACCUACCUAUAAGACUGGGAUAACUUCGGGAAACCGGAGCUAAUACCGGAUAAUAUUUUGAACCGCAUGGUUCAAAAGUGAAAGACGGUCUUGCUGUCACUUAUAGAUGGAUCCGCGCUGCAUUAGCUAGUUGGUAAGGUAACGGCUUACCAAGGCAACGAUGCAUAGCCGACCUGAGAGGGUGAUCGGCCACACUGGAUCUGAGACACGGUCCAGACUCCUACGGGAGGCAGCAGUAGGGAAUCUUCCGCAAUGGGCGAAAGCCUGACGGAGCAACGCCGCGUGAGUGAUGAAGGUCUUCGGAUCGUAAAACUCUGUUAUUAGGGAAGAACAUAUGUGUAAGUAACUGUGCACAUCUUGACGGUACUUAAUCAGAAAGCCACGGCUAACUACGUG
rnacentral:rRNA from 1 species